rnacentral:tRNA from 1 species
UCUCUCGUAGCUUAGUUGGUCAGAGCAUUGGUGAGUAAAGCCAAAGGUCGCGGGUUCGAUUCCCGGCGGGGGGG